AUGUUUUUAGUCUUGAUAUGCAGUAUGUCUGAUAAUGGCUGUAUUUCUGUCUUGUCUCUCCAGAAUGAGUGGUAUCUUGGUUGUAAACUGGUCCGGCUGAAGCAGAGCUCUGGGACGUGUGGACAGACAUUGACUGUAUUGAUGGACAUCUGCUCAUGGACAGAAUGAGUGGUAUCUUGGUUGUAAACUGGUCCGGCUGAAGCAGAGCUCUGGGACGUGUGGACAGACAUUGACUGUAUUGAUGGACAUCUGCUCAUGGACAGGUAAUGUAUCUAAUGUAUGAAUGUGUGUUCUAGUGCACUAAACAUGUAGGUUACCAUCAUUUUCUUUUUGAAGGGCCUCCCCUUUGAAAAGCAAAUGAUGGUAACCUAAGUAGGUGGGGAAGGGACGGGGGAUGAGAGUUUUUAUGCAGCUUUAAUUUUUUUUUGUCUGUCCAAAAGCAUAACCGCUGCUGGUCACAGUGCCGGAAGCUCCGAGGGGGAAUCUUUUUUUAAUUGCAUGCGUCAUCUUACUAUGGCAAUGUU
rnacentral:lncRNA from 1 species